UAAUGUCAAUACAGCAGCAAAAAUAGAUCUAUUCUUAAUGACAAUUAUGGUGUUCCAGUCCCCCACAUGUCUGAGGUUCACGUACAUGAGGCACAUGGCCACAAAACAACAACCUCACUUGAGCACGGGGAGGAAAGGGAGGCCGAGGAGCAUAAAGUCUUCCAUAAGUCUGAGGGACACACACACGAGACUCAUGGCCACAAAACAACCUCACCUGAGCACGGGGAGAAAAGGCACGAGGAGGAGGAGCAUAAAGUCUCCCACAAGUCUGAGGGACACGUACAUGAGACUCACGGCCACAAAACGUCAUCUGAGAACGGGCAGGAGAGGGAGGAGGAGAAAGAAAGAAAAGUCGAGCACACAGUUUCCCACACAUCUGAGGGACAUGGACAUGAGAUUCAUGGCCACAGAGCAGCAGCCUCAUCUGGUCACGGGCAAAAAAGGGAGGAGGAGGAGGAGAAUAGAGUCUCCCAUAAGUCUGAGGGACAUGGACAUGAGACUCAUGGCCAAAAAAAAACAACCUCUUCUGGGCAUGGGGAGGAGGAGCAUAAAGUCUCCCAUCAUUUUGAUGGACAUGGGCAUGGACAUGAGACUCAUGGUCACAAACCAACAGCCUCAUCUGGGCACGGGGAGGAACAUAAAGUAUCCCAUAAUUUUGAUGGACAUGGACAUGGACAUGGACAUGAGACUCAUGGUCACAAACCAACAUCUGGGCACGGGGAGGAGCAUAAAGUCUCCCAUAAUUUUGAUGGACAUGGACAUGGACAUGGACAUGAGACUCAUGGUCACAAACCAACAUCAGGGCACGGGGAAGAGCAUAAAGUAUCCCAUCAUUUUGAUGGACAUGGACAUGGACAUGGACAUGAGACUCAUGGUCACAAACCAACAACCUCAUCUGGGCACGGGGUGGAGCAUAAAGUCUCCCAUAAUUUUGAUGGACAUGGACAUGGACAUGGACAUGAGACCCAUGGCCACAGAACAACAACCUCAUCUGGCCACGGGGAGGAGGAGCAUAAAGUCUCCCACAAGUCUGAGGGACACGUACAAGAGACUCACAGCCACAAACCAACAACCUCAUCUGGGCACGGGCAUGGGCAUGAGGGAGAGCAUAAAGAAGAAAAAGCUGAAAGGAAAGGUAUCUUGGCAAUGUCCUUGUAGAUGGUGAAGUUUACUAUGCAGUGCUAAACUUUUACAGCAAGCUGAGCUUAUAGCCAAAAAAUGGGAUCCUAGAAACUGAAAUAAACAGAAAUGUCUCAGUGACAUGACUGCCUUUGGAUCAAUUGAAGCUUAAGAAUGAACCUCACAAGAUAUUUUUUGCUUAUGUUCAUGAUAAUUGUGGUGUUUCAGUCUCCCA
rnacentral:lncRNA from 15 species